UACGUAGGUGGCAAGCGUUGUCCGGAUUUACUGGGCGUAAAGCGCACGUAGGCGGCUUGGUAAGUUAGAGGUGAAAGCCUGGAGCUCAACUCCAGAAUUGCCUUUAAGACUGCCGAGCUAGCAGGUGAGAGAGGUGAGUGGAAUUCCGAGUGUAGAGGUGAAAUUCGUAGAUAUUCGGAAGAACACCAGUGGCGAAGGCGGCUCACUGGCUCAUACUGGACGCUGAGGUGCGAAAGCGUGGGGAGCAAACAGG
rnacentral:rRNA from 1 species